GGGGCGGAAGCCGACUCGCCGCUUUUCUCUAUGGACUCAUAACCCGUCGGCCGCGGGUUCGAGUCCCACCCGCCCCA
rnacentral:tRNA from 1 species